rnacentral:lncRNA from 10 species
UGUCACCUCUUUGGAUUCAGAUUUAAAUGAAUCAUUUACUUACAUUUUACUCACAUUUGAAAAUCAUUCUACAAACAACAUUCUAAUGGCGUUAAACAACUGCAGAAUCUAAUGAAAACCAGUCUUAACCUCACUGGAAUCUCAUUAAGAAGAGGGCAGCUCUUUUUUUGUGUGAAAUUGUUGGAGAUGAUUUUAUCUGGUUUGGUUUUGUUCGCCUUGCCUAGGAGAGUCGGGGGGCCGGGGGUAGAUAAAAAUCACAGAAUAUGGAUUCACAUACUCAAAAGAUUUUAAAAAUCCUCUUUCCUGAAUUUACAGAUGAAAAAACAAGAGCCUAAAGAAGGGAGGCAACUUUUCCAAAGCCACACAUUAAACCUGUGGCAGUUAAGAGCCAGAACUGUGGUAUCCUGGCCCUCAGCCCCACACCUCUACUGCAAUACCUGGGAUGUGGGCCCAUGGAUUGAUUUAUGGAUUUUGACUAACAUAUCUUCAAUUGAGCAAUCACUCGGAUGAUCGAUUGAACACUCCUUCACCAAACAAGGCUGGAGGCCUGGGAUGGACGCCGGUGGUUUGAGAUAUGCAGAAGAAAUGGGUCCUGCCCUCCGGAACACUCCAGAGAAUAUCAUGGCACUUUAUAACAUCAGUGUCAAUCAGCAUUGAUUGACAAGCCCCCUGGACUUUGGAUGACUUCUCUGAAGCCCCAGCUGUGCCUGGCUGGGCCAUCUCCCUUCUCCACUUGGCCACAGCAUAAACUGCAGUCAAGCCACAGGAGUGACCUCAAGGCCUCAGGCCACUUUUCCAGCCUCAGCUUUUCUUAGGGGCCCAGCCCACUUACAAUAGAAAUUUGCCAAAGACUGGGUUGAUUGUAAAGAUCUGGACUUUCUGAUCAUCUGGAAACAAUCAACUCAGAUGCUCACGGCACAUGCUGAGAGACUCCUGCAGGUCGCUGAGACAAGGGGUGGUGAAAUAUUUAACAGCACAGGCUCUGACCCAUCAGAAUGAAGGCUGGCAUAAACCACCAAGAUGGUGGCACUGGCG